rnacentral:rRNA from 1 species
UACGGAGGGAGCUAGCGUUGUUCGGAAUUACUGGGCGUAAAGCGCACGUAGGCGGCUUUUUAAGUCAGAGGUGAAAUCCCGGGGCUCAACUCCGGAACUGCCUUUGAUACUGGGGAGCUAGAGUCCGGGAGAGGUGAGUGGAACUGCGAGUGUAGAGGUGAAAUUCGUAGAUAUUCGCAAGAACACCAGUGGCGAAGGCGGCUCACUGGCCCGGUACUGACGCUGAGGUGCGAAAGCGUGGGGAGCAAACAGGG